rnacentral:lncRNA from 1 species
AUGCUUAGUUUUGUCGCUCGCGCUGUUGAGUGACGUACAUGACACACCUUGAAAACUUCUCGGAGAUCGGAGACCUUCCGAGGACUCGCGUUACGAGCGACUACGCUCGAAUUCAGAAUCUGGCCCACGUCAACAUUGGACUUAUACCCGACUGAAUAGUUUUCAGAGAACACGGAAAUCAGCGUUCAUGGUAGGAGGUGUCGCGCUGUUGCCGAAAAUAUAGUAAAGAAAAAACGUUGUCGAUGAGGGCCUUGGAGAUGGCGAAGAAACCUGGUGGCCUCGAAAGGAUCAUGGACUUCCUAAGGAAAGGGACUAGGAAGAGGAAAAUGGGCAAUACCAUUAACAUUGGCUUUUUUGUAUUCAGGUGAUACUGAUAAAAUGACAACCACAGAGCAAUAUAGUAUGAGGCUGUGACCCGGUAAACCCGGGACUAUUGCUGUGCAUUCGCUGACCUUUGAAACUUGGAUACCCCCGAACCCAUGUCAACUGUAGGUCGCAGCAGAGGUCCAUAAUUGCGAGAUGCCAUUAACUGCUCGGAUUUGCUACCAACCAUUUAAUCGUCUGACUCCAUUUAUUCAAUUUGUUUAAACAAACAAUGAUGAAAAUUCAAAAUCUUUCAAAAUUGUUGCUAGACUAAUGAUUUAUGCAAGAGAGUAUGUCGGAAACACAAGGAGAUAAUUUAUACACAGAAUUCGAUUGCACAAAUAUCUUUAAUAAGUCAUUUAAACAAUUUUCAGAACGAUUUUGUGGUCUAUUUUUCAAAAAAGUCUAAGAUUCUUGGUUUUAUAAGUCACAAUACUUUUUCGAAGGAACUUUCUUCAGGCUGAAAGGAUCCGAUGGGAAAUAUUGCAAAAUGUAUAUAUCGCUGACCCUUGAAAAAUGGGCUCUUUGUGUAACAUUUUGAAAUGGUUUCCAAGAAGAAAAAAAAACGAUGAAGAACGUUGACGUUGGUGGAUUAAUUUUUUUUCUUGAUUUAUUUUACAAAACGUGCCAGCCUUUUACGUUCCAUGCGUAAUGUACACCUUGCCACAGAGAAUAACAAACUAUUUAGGAUUCUUUAUUUUUUAUUCUUAUAUUUCCAUCUUAUAUUUUCUUACUGUAAAUAUCCUGUGUAUUAUUUUCGGUGAUUCGUAGUUUUAUUAUUUUAUCUUUUUAAUUUUUUAAUGCUCGCGAGAAGAAAAAGAACGUAUUGACGAUCGCGAAUAUAAUUCAAGAUUGCAUGCUGUGACGAACGAAAAUGUGAAUGAAAAAGGGCGAAUCCUUGAUUCUUUGAGCUGUACAAGUGAUGAAAGAACAUCAACAAAUGAUAAUGGUGUGCAGCAAACGAUAAUGUGAAUUCAAUUUUUGCACUCCGGAAUAAAAAUGAAUAAGUUCUCUCAUAAUUUUGAUUUUUUUAUCCAAUUUCAUGAAUUCUUGAAUCAUUUCCUCGUUCCUCAUUUUUUCCUCUGUGUAACUAUGAAUGUAAAUUGUGCUUCUCGUAUCGCUCAUUUCAAUUCAUAGAAGUUUGAGACUCAACCGCUUUUAAAAAGUCUAAAAGGAUUCAACCAUUUCGGUCGAUUCAACCAUUUCAAACGAGAAUUGAUUACUAACAAAAUUCAUUUUUUCACAUUAUUUUUGUUUUUUUUUCCUUUUUAUUUCUGUACAUUUUUCAUAAUUUCCCGUAUUGAUCUUUUCUGAAAACAAAAUUCGAAGAAAAGUAAUAUUGCGAAAAAAAAGUUGUACGAAUGCCCAGCAAAGAUUAUUUUGUUCGAAAAGUGUGUUAAUGAGAUCUGAAAAACGUUAUUCUGGCAUUUUUGCAUCUGGCGAUGUAUGCAAAGUUCAAGGAUGGUUGAUUUUUUUUCAGUUUUCUGUACAAAUACAAAUAUUUCAACUCUAGUAGAAUAGAACAUUUGACUGAGAAACUUAUUUUUGACGUUGGAAUUUAAAAUCAAUGGAAACGAAUAGGAGCAACAAUAAAAAAGCCUGUAAAGCGUUUGGAAAUCUAUCAAAUGCGAACAAAAACAAUAAUUCAUUUUCACAAUAAUUUCUUUUUUUUUAAUGUUCAAAUCGCAGCAGGAUCAUCACGAAGUUUUUCGAUCUGAUUAAAUUUUCUUUUUGAAUUCCUGCCAGAAUCGAGUACCCGAAUCUCAGUCACAUUCGAAACUAAGAAUUCGAGUUCGAAUCUCAUAAAAAAAAACGAAAAAUUACAAUGGUUGUUACAAUAAAAAUAAUUUCAAAAUCUAUGAAAUAAACGGAUUCUUAUCUA